CGAGUCGUCCAGACGAUCGCUGGAUCCAAUCAGUGGCCCAGAGGAAAGUCCGAACACCAUAGGGCAGGGUGCUCCAUAACGUGGAGUCACGGUAACGUGAAGGAAAGUGCAACAGAAAGUAUACCGCCCUGCAUUCAGCAGGGUAAGGGUGAAAAGGUGCGGUAAGAGCGCACCAGUUCUUCGGGUGACCGGAGAAGCUUUGUAAACCCCACCCGGUGCAAGACCAAAUAGGGGAGUGUUUGAGAAUGGC
rnacentral:RNase_P_RNA from 1 species